rnacentral:rRNA from 1 species
UACGUAGGGGGCAAGCGUUGUCCGGAAUCAUUGGGCGUAAAGCGCGUGUAGGCGGUCCGGUAAGUCCGCUGUGAAAGUCGGGGGCUCAACCCUCGGAUGCCGGUGGAUACUGUCGGGCUUGAGUACGGAAGAGGCGAGUGGAAUUCCUGGUGUAGCGGUGAAAUGCGCAGAUAUCAGGAGGAACACCAAUUGCGAAGGCAGCUCGCUGGGACGGUACUGACGCUGAGAAGCGAAAGCAUGGGGAGCGAACAGG